rnacentral:rRNA from 1 species
GAUGAACGCUGGCGGCGUGCCUAAUACAUGCAAGUCGAGCGAACGGACGAGAAGCUUGCUUCUCUGAUGUUAGCGGCGGACGGGUGAGUAACACGUGGAUAACCUACCUAUAAGACUGGGAUAACUUCGGGAAACCGUAGCUAAUACCGGAUAAUAUUUUGAACCGCAUGGUUCAAAAGUGAAAGACGGUCUUGCUGUCACUUAUAGAUGGAUCCGCGCUGCAUUAGCUAGUUGGUAAGGUAACGGCUUACCAAGGCAACGACGCAUAUCCGACCUGAGAGGGUGAUCGGCCACACUGAAACUGAGACACGGUCCAGACUCCUACGGGAGGCAGCAGUAGGGAAUCUUCCGAAAUGGGCGAAAGCCUGACGGAGCAACGCCGCGUGAGUGAUGAAGGUCUUCGGAUCGUAAAACUCUGUUAUUAGGGAAGAACAUAUGUGUAAGUAACUGUGCACAUCUUGACGGUACCUAAUCAGAAAGCCACGGCUAACUACGU